GAAGCUUGCUUCUCUUGAGAGCGGCGGACGGGUGAGUAAUGCCUAGGAAUCUGCCUGGUAGUGGGGGAUAACGUUCGGAAACGGACGCUAAUACCGCAUACGUCCUACGGGAGAAAGCAGGGGACCUUCGGGCCUUGCGCUAUCAGAUGAGCCUAGGUCGGAUUAGCUAGUUGGUGGGGUAAUGGCUCACCAAGGCGACGAUCCGUAACUGGUCUGAGAGGAUGAUCAGUCACACUGGAACUGAGACACGGUCCAGACUCCUACGGGAGGCAGCAGUGGGGAAUAUUGGACAAUGGGCGAAAGCCUGAUCCAGCCAUGCCGCGUGUGUGAAGAAGGUCUUCGGAUUGUAAAGCACUUUAAGUUGGGAGGAAGGGCAGUAAAUUAAUACUUUGCUGUUUUGACGUUACCGACAGAAUAAGCACCGGCUAACCCUGUGCCAGCAGCCGCGGUAAUACAGAGGGUGCAAGCGUUAAUCGGAAUUACUGGGCGUAAAGCGCGCGUAGGUGGUUAGUUAAGUUGGAUGUGAAAUCCCCGGGCUCAACCUGGGAACUGCAUUCAAAACUGACUGACUAGAGUAUGGUAGAGGGUGGUGGAAUUUCCUGUGUAGCGGUGAAAUGCGUAGAUAUAGGAAGGAACACCAGUGGCGAAG
rnacentral:rRNA from 1 species